UUUAACACGAAAUAACUUCUAAAAUACAAACUUUUGUGAAAAACGUUAAGAGUAGACCGUGUUCUACGGGACACAUUCAACCAGUAUAAGAAAUGUCAAACUGUUUAGUUAAAAGAAAAAAUUAACUGAAAGAUCAUUAUAGACCAUGAAUUUC